CCAAUAGCGUAUAUUAAAGUUGUUGCAGUUAAAAAGCUCGUAGUUGAAUUUCGGAAUCUGUUCGUUGGUCGGGCUUAAUUGUCCGUACUGAUGUGAUGGGUUCUUACCUUCUGAAUAACUAGCAUGCCAUUAAUUUGGUGUGUUGGGGAAGCAGGACUAUUACCUUGAAAAAAUUAGAGUGCUCAAAGCAGGCUAGCGCCUGAAUACAUUAGCAUGGAAUAAUAAAAUAGGACGGAAUGGUUCUAUUUUGUUGGUUUCUAGGAUCACCGUAAUGAUUAAUAGGGAUAGUUGGGGGCAUUAGUAUUCAAUUGUCAGAGGUGAAAUUCUUGGAUUUAUUGAAGACUAACUUCUGCGAAAGCAUUUGCCAAGGAUGUUUUCAUUAAUCAAGAACGAAAGUUAGGGGAUCGAAGACGAUCAGAUACCGUCGUAGUCUUAACCAUAAACUAUACCGACUAGGGAUCGGACGAUGUUAAUUUUAUAAUGACUCGUUCGGCGCCUUACG
rnacentral:rRNA from 1 species